rnacentral:tRNA from 1 species
GGAGAGAUGGCUGAGUGGUUUAAAGCACCGGUCUUGAAAACCGGCGAGGGUUUAUAGCCCUCCUAGGGUUCAAAUCCCUAUUUCUCCG